rnacentral:sRNA from 1 species
GAAACAGCAAAGGAACGCUUAAGGUCCUUCGUAUCUACAAUGUCCUGGACAUGAAGAACACGACCUGCCAGGACCUGCAGAUAGAAGUGACAGUCAAAGGCCACGUCGAGUACACGAGGGAAGCAAACGAGGACUAUGAGGACUAUGAGUACGAUGAGCUUCCAGCCAAGGACGACCAGAUGCCCCUCUGCAGCCUGUGACACCCUGCAGCUGUUUGAGGGUCGGAGGAACCGCCGCAGGAGGGAGGCGCCCAAGGUGGUGGAGGAGCAGGAGUCCAGGGUGCACUACACCGUGUGCAUCUGGCGGAAUGGCAAGGUGGGACUGUCUGGCAUGGCCAUCGCGGACAUCACCCUCCUGAGUGGAUUCCACGCCUGCGUGCUGACCUGGAGAAGCUGACCUCCCUCUCUGACCGUUACGUGAGUCACUUUGAGACCGAGGGGCCCCACGUCCUGCUGUAUUUUGACUCGGUGAGUGGGGAGAGAUGAGGCAGGAAGGGACUCGAUGGCACGGGUUUACUGAGUAUGCGUUAGGGGGUUUCUCAGGAGACAGCUGUGUCAGCGGCUGCUGCUCUUGAGAACUUAUGAUGUCAUCAGAGAGAAGGACAAGAAUGUGAGCCCGUGAGAC